rnacentral:tRNA from 1 species
GGCCCAUUACCUCAGUUGGUUAGAGCGUGGUGCUAAUAACGCGAAGGUCGCAGGUUCGAGACCUGCAUGGGCAU